rnacentral:rRNA from 1 species
UACGUAGGAUCCGAGCGUUGUCCGGAUUUACUGGGUGUAAAGGGUGCGCAGGCGGACUGGUAAGUCAGAGGUGAAAUCUCGUCGCUCAACGACGAAACUGCCUUUGAUACUAUCAGUCUUGAAUCCGGUAGAGAUCUGUGGAAUUCCGAGUGUAGCAGUGAAAUGUGUAGAUAUUCGGAAGAACACCAGUGGCGAAGGCAGCAGAUUGGGCCGGUAUUGACGCUCAGGCACGAAAGCAUGGGGAUCAAACAGG